rnacentral:rRNA from 1 species
UACAGAGGAGCCAAGCGUUGUCCGGAUUGACUGGGCGUAAAGCGCACGCAGGCGGUUGCGCGCGUGGGGUGUGAAAUCUGGCCGCUUAACGGCCAGGCGCCAUCCCAUACGGCGCGACUGGAGUGAUGCAGAGGUCGAUGGAAUUGCCGGUGUAGUGGUGAAAUGCGUAGAGAUCGGCAGGAACACCCAGGGGGAAACCAGUCGACUGGGCAUCUACUGACGCUGAGGUGCGAGAGCGUGGGGAGCGAACCGGAU